GACGAACGCUGGCGGCGUGCCUAAUACAUGCAAGUAGAACGCUGAAGUGAGGAGCUUCCUCUUCUUGGAUGAGUUGCGAACGGGUGAGUAACGCGUAGGUAACCUGCCUUGUAGCGGGGGAUAACUAUUGGAAACGAUAGCUAAUACCGCAUAACAAUGGAUGACACAUGUCAUUUAUUUGAAAGGGGCAAUUGCUCCACUACAAGAUGGACCUGCGUUGUAUUAGCUAGUAGGUGAGGUAAUGGCUCACCUAGGCGACGAUACAUAGCCGACCUGAAAGGGUGGUCAGCCUGACUGGGACGGAGACACCGCCCCGAAUACUGCGGGAGGCAGAAGUAAGGAAUCUACAGAGAUUGGGGCAACCCUGACCGAGCAACACCGCGGGAGUGAAGAAAGGUUUCGGGUCGUAAAACUCUGUUGUAAGUCAAGAACGGGUGUGAGAGUGGAAAGUUCACACUGUGACGGUAGCUUACCAGAAAGGGACGGCUAACUACGUG
rnacentral:rRNA from 1 species